GCGGCGAUGCUCGCCGGACCCCACCGCGUACCGCCCGCCGCCGCCGCCGCCGUCUCCCGAGCAAACCCUAGAUGAAGAAUCCUCGCCCUUCUUCACUUCUCAUGGUUUCUCUCCCCAAUGCCCCCUCCAUCCCCUCCCCGACCUCUCGAUGACUUCCCGACCCGCCCGGAUCCGAGAAAACGACCCGCCCGCGACCCGGGCCCUCCCUCCUGCGCCGUCCGCUCCCUCCUCGGUCUCUGCUCUCGAGGUCAACUCGCGGACGCCGUUGACUCCCUCCGCCGGCUGGCCCUGAAGGGCGUCCGCUUGCCCUCCGGAGUGCUCGCCCACUUGAUCCACCAAUGCGGCGCCGCCGCGUCCCUCCGACACGGGAGACGCGUGCACCUGCAUCUGAAGCUCACCGGGCUGGAGAGGCCCGGCGUGUUUCUGUCCAACCGCUUGAUCGAAAUGUACUUCGGAUGCGGCGACCUAGUCGCCGCGCGCAAGGUGUUCGACAAAAUGCCGGCGAGGAACGUGUAUUCGUGGAACAGCGUGCUCUCCGGGUAUGCCAAGUUGGGCAGGAUGAAUUCGGCGAGGAGGCUGUUCGAGAGAAUGCCGGAGAGGGAUGUGGUGUCGUGGAACACCAUGGUGAUGGGGUAUGCACGGUGCGGUUGUUGCGAUGAGGCGGCGAGGCUGUAUAGAGAGUUGAGGAGGUCGGGGACUGAGUGCAGCAAGUUUAGUUUUGCGGGCAUUUUGACUGUUUGUGUGAAGUUGAAAGAUUGGUGCCUUAGCAAGCAGGUUCAUGGGCAGGUCUUGGUUUCUGGCUACUCAUCCAAUGCGGUUAUCGUCAGCACUAUAGUCGAUGCGUAUGCAAAGUGUGGGGAGAUGACUGAUGCGCGGAGAGCAUUUGAUGGCAUGCGAGUGAAAGAUAUUCUUGCUUGGACCACAUUGGUCUCUGGGUAUGCCAAAUGGGGCAACAUGGAGGCUGCGAAGGGAAUAUUUGAUCAGAUGCCUGAAAAGAACGCAGUUUCUUGGACUGCUUUAAUUGCUGGAUAUGCUAGAAAUGGUUUGGGUGAUAUUGCGCUUAAGUCACUUUCAGAAAUGAUGAAACUUCAGCUUAAACCUGACCAAUUCACUUUCAGUAGCAGCCUGUGUGCUUGUGCUAGCAUGGCCUCAUUGAACCAGGGUAAACAAAUCCAUGGCUUCUUAAUAAGGACUUACUUUAGGCCCAAUACAAUAGUUGUCUGUUCUCUCAUUGACAUGUAUUCUAAAUGUGGUCUUCUCAGUUCUGCUAGGUUGGUUUUUGAUCUUGAGGGUGACAAUAAUAACGUGGUUUUGUGGAACACAAUGAUAUCUGCCCUAGCGCAGCAUGGCCAGGGUAAAGGUGCGAUAGAGAUGUUUAAUGACAUGAUCAGGUUGGGCAUUAAGCCAGAUAGGAUCUCUUUACUUGUCAUUGUCAAUGCUUGCAGUCAUUCCGGUCUUCCAAAGGAAGGACUGCAGUUGUUUGAUUCCAUCACACGCGAUCAUGCAAUUUCUCCAGAUCAGGAACAUUAUGCAUGCAUGAUUGAUCUCUUGGGACGAGCUGGUCUGUUUGACGAGGUAAUUAACCUGAUCCGUAUGAUGCCUUUUCCACCGGAUGAGCGCAUAUGGAAUGCCUUGCUCUGUGUGUGUAAGAUAUACCGCAAUUUGGCUUUAGGAAAAGAAGCAGCUGAACACCUGCUUGAGUUGCAACCGAACUCUCCUGAAGCUUACAUAUUCCUGUCAAGUGUCUAUGCAUCACUUGGGGAGUGGAAAUCAGUAGAGGACGUUAGAAAACUUAUGCAUGACAGAUGUGUAACAAAAGAUCGAGCUGUCAGUUGGAUAGAAACCGACAGUAAGGUGCAUUCUUUCUCCAUUGCAGAGGACUCGCAUCCUUCGAAAGAAGAAAUAUAUUCGAUGUUGGAUCAGAUUGCUAUCCAGAUGGAAGAAGACAAGUUAUGACUCGAUACUCAAUAGUCACCGUAUGUAACCUCAAUCCUUGGACAGCUCGGGGUCAAUCAGGGAAGAUGACGCUUUGGCUGGGGAGAUCAACCUGUAAUUCUUGUUCUCUUGAGCUAGGUCAAGGAAGAUCAUGCUCUGGUUGGGGAUUAUCAACCUGUAAUUUUUGUGCUCAACUUAGAUGAGGGCCUAUAACACCAACAUCAAUUCUUUUGAUGCUAAAGAGCUAGAGAGUUUCUGAGUAAACUCGUAGUAUACUUGAGAAUCAACAAAGUUUUGACAGGCUGCUGAAGACUUUUGUGCUUCAGGUCUUCGACAAACAUAACAGAAGUGAUGACUUUCACUUUGUAAUGGAUAUUCUUAAGGUAAAUGAGAUAGGGAGUAAUACUUGUUCUGUGAAUCUCCCAUUGAGACGCCAAAAAAGCGGUUUGACUUGAAUUAUGCCUAACAGUUUCGAACGUGAUUAUGUGGUCGGUAACAUGUGAUCCUUGUUCUUGUGGGAGAUUGAAAUGUGCAUGACUCAUCCAAUGGUUUGCUUAGGAACAGUGAUGUUAGUUUAACCUCCUAGUUGCCGUCUAUCGCUUUCCUGUCACAGGCGGAAAUGUAGGGAUGCUCUUGGUCUAUGCAUCCUCUCGCCUCAUACCACGUAUGUGAGCUACACCCUUAAGCAAGAUGGUGCAUUGUACAUGCAUAGGCCACAAAGUGUUCGGCGCAAUUACCUCCUAUUUGACGUGAGUUGAUUCAGAGCAUCACCUCAAACCAUUUCAAACUAAGAGCAAAUCAUAGCAGAGGAGCAGCUACCAGUUCCACGGUGAUCAAACGGGGCUGGGAAAAGUCGACAAUGUCGGCAAUGGAAGUUGGUACAGUUCAACUGCGACGUUUACCUUCUACAAAAGAUGAAGCCCUGCUUCCUACCUCCAGUGGAUCGUUGUAAGGAAAGUUACAAGCACGUGCUCAGACUUAGAU